rnacentral:lncRNA from 1 species
CGGUGGUGGCUAUGAGCCUAGAUACGGUGGAGGAUACCACCAUGGCCAUGGUGGAGGAGGCUAUGGGCCCGGAUAUGGUGGUGGUUAUGGUGGCCCUGGGUAUGGUGGUGGGUAUGGUCAGCCUGGGUAUGGCGGAGGCUAUGGUGGAGGAUACGGCGGAGGCUAUGGCGGAGGAUACGGUGGUGGCGGCGGGUACGGUGGAGGCGGGGGCUAUGGAGGCGGAUAUGGUGGUGGCGGCUACCCUGGAGGUGGACACCAUGGUGGAUGGAAUUAAGUGGAGCAACUAUAUAAGUUUCUCUGUGUCAAAUAAUUAAUGUGCCGUGGUGAUGGGUUAAAAUGAUGCAUGGGGAUUACUUGGCG